AGGUGGCGCAAGGUGGCGUGACGAGUUAUUUUUGUUUACUUGUCAUUUGUUAAAUCAUUAUUUAUUUUCGAACAAGCUGAUUAUUGACAAUUUGUUUAUAAAAAUGUCCGUGAAAAACGCUGUGCAAUCUAAUUUCCAUAACUUUUUUACUGAAGGAUGUAUUGAAUAUAUUUACGAAGAUGAGCAGUGUGUGGCCUUUGACGCAACUAAAAAUCAGCAGGCGCCAACUCAUUUUCUUGUAGUCCCCAAGAAAGUGAUACCAAGAUUGUCUUUAGCUUCACCUGAGGAUGAAAAAAUAUUAGGUCAUCUGUUAAUAGUAGUUAAGAAUAUCGCAAAACAAAAAGGACUAGCAGGAUAUCAUGUAGUCGUUGAUGAAGAUCACAGGACAGUGAGGUUCAACGGAAUCCAUCUUUUUGGCAGGUCUCUCCUUCACAUGAUGUGGCCUACAGGGCCUGGCUGUAGGCUAUAAGCGAGCAUCAAGCGGGAUACUAGGAUAUAAAUAAAUAAGCUUAAGAUUUAAAUAUAAGGCACAGUAUUUAAAUAAAUGAUAGGUAUUAUUCUAAA